AUCGAUUGGGCCCCACCUGUCUGGGGAAAGUACGCGCCGCUGAGUCGCCCCUCACACAGCCCACGCGCCCUCCCGAACCCUACCUCUCUUCCCACAUUUUCUGCCGGCGGCGGCUCCCAACGCCCUCCUCUUCCCCCCGCUCUCACCCAGCCUCUCCCGGCCACUCCACCCUUCGCCCCCGGACGUUGCUCUCCUUCAUAGCCACCGGCGGAUCGGCCUCUCUCCGAGACACAACCAUGAUCCACGGGAUCCCUAGAGGUUGCGGCGGUCUGAUGCGGGAGGUGCUACGCCGGCCAUGGUCGCUGGCGGAAGGACUUUUGGAGACAGCGAUAGCUCGAAAUCUACAACGGCAGCGGCUGGACACAGGAAGGACGCUGCCGAACCUGGACACCGGCGGGGAGAACGCUGCUUUAUCAACUGCUUCGGCGGCUGCUGCUCCAUCUACUUGGUAGUGCUGCUGCAUCUCCAGCCCGUGAAAAAGGAGGUUGAGAGGAUCUACAUGACAAUCAGACCUGCCUGUGUUCAACUUCUUAUGGUACUUUUAGCUGAAGGGAAUAAAGCUUCUUCAGUGACCUUGAGCUUGGCGCUGAUUGGCUUCUAAAGAUUCAUCAAACUUUAAAACAUGUCUUGGGACAGAUUUUGGGUGUUUCUAAGCAAAGCCAUGUUUGCAUGUCGACUAACACAUCCGACAUUGCUAAGAGGGUUAUCACUCUUAGAGAUGACAGUUUCAAUGUGGAUGAUAUGUGUGGACAAAUGGACCGGCAUGGCUGCCUGGUUUCUGUGGCUGAAGAAUACAAAUACACUCCAGGAAGGUGAGUGGUGUUUGUUGCGACAUAUCUAGGGAUUGUGCUUGGGAAAAUUGGCAAACGAAGGUAUCAAUAACUUAUUACAAGGUAAAUUCAAUUUUGCUUCCUUUUUACAUGCAUAUUUGUAGUUUUGUAUAGAUUAGUAGAAAGUGGAUAUUUUUAGCUGUGUUUGGAGAUACGUACAAAUGGUUUGAUGUAACCUUCAUUAUGUCCAAAGAUUAAUUGAUAUGAUUUUUUUGUUGAUUAUUCCUGCUCAUCUAUUUCAAUUGUAAAAUAAAUAAAUAAACCGCGUUUGUAAAGAAACAUGUCAUCUAUAGAUUUAUGCUCCCUUAAAUGGCUGAUAGCCACCCGGCGUCUGCUACAGCGACGAUCUCAGCGCCUGUCUGUUGCCCUUCCUCAACAGCAACAACGACGCAGGUACAGCCUUUGCAUCAACCAUCGGAGGCGAAGAUGAGAAAGUUACCUGUUUCUUUUUUUAGGCAUCCAUCUCUCCCAUAUGAAUUGGUUGUAAGCACUGAGGAGACCCUAAUAUAGAUGGUUCUGUUUUUUGCAUGUCAUUUCGCUCGUGUUGCUUCACAUUUAAUAUUUUAAUUUCAAAUAGCUUUUUACUGAUGUCAUCCAAUUUUUUUUGUAAGCAUCCAUUCUAUAUGUUCCUAUGUAGGAGGCAAAAUUCAUAAACUUGUAUGUGCACAAAAAUAUCUUUUCCUUUCUUGCCAAGAUGUAUUAAGUGUUAGUUGUUAAUUUCCGUUCGUUUAUGAAAAUCUAGGAACACGGGAAUUGAGCUCUUGCUUCAGGUAUCAUUUCGCUCGUGUUGCUUCACAUUUAAUAGUUUAAUUUCAAAUAGCUUUUUACUGAUGUCAUCCAAUUUUUUUUGUAAGCAUCCAUUCUAUAUGUUCCUAUGUAGGAGGCAAAAUUCAUAGCUUGUAUGUGCACAAAAAUAUCUUUUCCUUUCUUGCCAAGAUGUAUUAAGUGUUAGUUGUUAAUUUCUGUUCGUUUAUGAAAAUGAUUGUUCUGCACUGCUACCCUGUCCUUUUGGUAGCACAUCAUGCCGCUGUGUUAUCCCUCGCUAAUAACACCAUGCUCAUGCACUUUGACAUUUCUUUUUGGCUAUUUAUCUAAAAGAAAGAAAGUUAAAUCAUUGAAAUCUCUAGCAUAAAUGUUACCUCCUGGUAGAAACAGUGACUGAAUGUGGGAGACAAUAACCUAAAUCAAGAUUGUUGCCUCUGCCGGGUAUAUGAUAUGAAGAUUAGAACAGUUGGACGGUAGAGGCCAGAUCAGGUAUAAUAAUGUUACUGAAAAAAGGAGAGGGUGAGCUCUUACCAGUUUCAGCAUUGAAGUACCUUGAGCUUGCAAUGUAUUCAUUUUCUGUAAUGCCUUCUGCCUAAAUUCUGAUGUUUUUCAGAUAAAUAAAUAUGCAUGGAAUGUCCAAUGUUCUGUCAUUUUCUGAUGAUUAAAUACAAACUGUCAAAUUCUAACCCCUGAUCUUGCAGCAUAAAGGUAUCAGAUCAUUACUACAAGCGCUUACUCCAUUAAUAGCUAAUAUAAGUUGUAUGUUACUGGUCCUCAGUAAUUAGCAUAGUUUCAUGUUCAGUACUUUUUGGCAUUGGGUUGUCGAACUGUUAGUGUUCCCAUUUGCAUAUUCAGUUUAGAUAUUACUUGUAUGUAGAAAUGCGUCUCUGAAUUAUGUGCAACAUGUUUUUGCUUGAUUCUUCAAUAUAAGCCAAAAAAAAUUUGCAUAUUAGUUAUUUCCGUUCUAAUUAAUAUAGUUUUAGAGCAGUGUUGUAGUCAAAUUUUGGAAUCGGGUGGGCUCAUAGACGAGACUGUUGUUGCAUUUUGGGAAUGUUUAGGUGGGAAAACCCUUUUAUGUCUGGCUCCUAAUUAAGCAAUGCAUAUAUGUCAGGCAGUUCUUGGAAAACAGAAUCCUUUGGUUGGUUGGUUGUACAGUUAAACGGCUACACUUUGUUGCGGAGUGUUACAAUAUUAAAUGUGUCCUUCAAGUGCUGGGAGUUGAACUCUCUUGGAUUUAUAAUUUAAGCAGAGUCUAUAUAAGAUAUAAAAAAUAUGAUCCCAUGCUUAUGAACAGUUUGUUCAGCUCGCAAACUUAGGGAGAAGAGAAGAUUCUCCUAUAAUGCUGAUAGUUAGAUGAGGGGUAGGAAGAGAAGGGAAAGAAGAGUGUGGAGGCCUACUCAAGCAGGCCACCCUUGACAUCUCCAUCUCCUGCAAGGCGGAGGCCAUGUCCAUAAUGAACUCGUUCAUCAACAACAUCUUUGAGGGGCUCGUCUACGAGGUUGCCGAUCGCAUCCACUACAACAAGGAGCUAACCAUCUCCUCCUAGGAGAUCCAGACCUCUAUCUGCCCCAUCCCUCUUCUCGCUGUCUAUGAGGGCACCAAGGCCGUCACUGAGUUCACCUCAUCUUAGAUUGCAUUGUUUGCAUACCUUUGUAAUUGUAGUAGCUGUUGGUAGUUUGCUUUGUUUAACUAGAAAUAUUGUUAGAGCUGAAUUGAAAAUCCUGAAUGUAUGGCAUGGUACUGAUCUGAAAUACUAAUGAUGUGGUGCUUCUUUCCGGAAACGAUUCGAUCCUGAUUAAUUUA